CCUACGGGAGGCAGCAGUGGGGAAUAUUGGACAAUGGGGGGAACCCUGAUCCAGCGACGCCGCGUGAGUGAAGAAGUAUUUCGGUAUGUAAAGCUCUAUCAGCAGGGAAGAAAGAAAUGACGGUACCUGACUAAGAAGCCCCGGCUAACUACGUGCCAGCAGCCGCGGUAAUCCGGAGGGGGCAAGCGUUAUCCGGAUUUACUGGGUGUAAAGGGGGCAUAGACGGCGAUGCAAGUCUGAAGUGAAAGGCGGGGGCCCAACCCCCGGACUGCUUUGGAAACUGUAUGGCUGGAGUGCAGGAGAGGUAAGUGGAAUUCCUAGUGUAGCGGUGAAAUGCGUAGAUAUUAGGAGGAACACCAGUGGCGAAGGCGGCUUACUGGACUGUAACUGACGUUGAGGCUCGAAAGCGUGGGGAGCAAACAGGAUUAGAUACCCUUGUAGUC
rnacentral:rRNA from 1 species